GUGAGACACGCCCCUCGGGUUUCCGCCAGCCUGCCUCCGGGAAGUUUUGAGAACAGGGUCCCGGGAAACCUGGGGGCCCUGUUCCCCUUCACGUGAAGUCUCCGCCCACCGGCCGAGGUUCGGGGGUGAAGAAGCGACUUCCAAGGGAUGGGAGGGGACGGGCCAGGUGGCUCAGUGGUGAAGAGUCUGCCUACCAAUAUAGGAGAUGCAAGAGAUGUCAGUUGGAUCCCUGGGUCGGGAAGAUCCCCUGGAGAAGAAUCUAAGUUACCUGAAUGAAGCAUCGUCUUUUUCUUUUUUGACGGCACAGAAUGCCAUGCAGAACUUCCUCGACCAGGGAUUGAACCUGUGCCCCCUGCACUGGAAGCACUGAAUCUUAACCACUGGCCCACCAGGAAGUCUGCAGUGUCCUCUUGUUUACAGCUGUAGCCCCAGUGUCAAGCAUGGUGCUUGGUACAUUAUACAGGGUCUCGGAAAAUAUUUGUCAAAUCAGUA
ensembl:lncRNA